rnacentral:rRNA from 1 species
GAUGAACGCUAGCGGCAGGCCUAAUACAUGCAAGUCGAACGGUAACAUGAGUAGCAAUACUUGAUGACGAGUGGCGCACGGGUGCGUAACGCGUAUGCAAUCUACCUUUAACUGGUGAAUAGCCCGAAGAAAUUCGGAUUAAUACACCAUAGUAUAGUUGAAUGGCAUCAUUUAACUAUUAAAACUCCGGUGGUUAAAGAUGAGCAUGCGUGACAUUAGCUAGUUGGUGAGGUAAUGGCUCACCAAGGCUACGAUGUCUAGGGGAUCUGAGAGGAUUAACCCCCACACUGGGCCUGGGCAACGGACCAGACUCCUACGGGAGGCAGCAGUAAGGAAUAUUGGACAAUGUCGCAAGACUGAUCCAGCCAUGUCGCGUGAAGGAGGACGGCCCUAUGGGUUGUAAACUUCUUUUGUAUGGGAAAAAACCUCUUUACGUGUAAAGAGCUGAUUGUACCAUAAGAAUAAGGAUCGGCUAACUCCGUGCCAGCCGCCGCCGUAAUAC